rnacentral:rRNA from 1 species
UCCGGUGACAAUAGCGUGGGGGAGACACCCGAUCCCAUCCCGAACUCGGCAGUUAAGCCCCAUUGCGCCGAUGGUACUGCGCGGGAGACUAGCGUGGGAGAGUAGGUCGUUGCCGGGA